AUUGAACGCUGGCGGCAGGCUUAACACAUGCAAGUCGAGCGGAGUGAUGGUGCUUGCACUAUCACUUAGCGGCGGACGGGUGAGUAAUGCUUAGGAAUCUGCCUAUUAGUGGGGGACAACAUCUCGAAAGGGAUGCUAAUACCGCAUACGUCCUACGGGAGAAAGCAGGGGAUCACUUGUGACCUUGCGCUAAUAGAUGAGCCUAAGUCGGAUUAGCUAGUUGGUAGGGUAAAGGCCUACCAAGGCGACGAUCUGUAGCGGGUCUGAGAGGAUGAUCCGCCACACUGGGACUGAGACACGGCCCAGACUCCUACGGGAGGCAGCAGUGGGGAAUAUUGGACAAUGGGGGGAACCCUGAUCCAGCCAUGCCGCGUGUGUGAAGAAGGCCUUAUGGUUGUAAAGCACUUUAAGCGAGGAGGAGGCUCUUUUGGUUAAUACCCAGGAUGAGUGGACGUUACUCGCAGAAUAAGCACCGGCUAACUCUGUGCCAGCCGCCGCAGUAAAAC
rnacentral:rRNA from 1 species